CACGUAGUUAGCCGUGGCUUAUUCAAGAGGUACCGUCUUCUGCUCUUCCCUCUUAAAAGAAGUUUACAACCCGAAAGCCUUCUUCCUUCACGCGGCGUUGCUGGGGUCAGGCUUGCGCCCAUUGCCCAAUAUUCCCCACUGCUGCCUCCCGUAGGAGUCUGGGCCGUAUCUCAGUCCCAAUGUGGCCGGUCAACCUCUCAGUCCGGCUACUGAUCGUCGCCUAGGUGGGCCGUUACCCCGCCUACUAGCUAAUCAGACGCGAGGCCAUCUUCCAGCGAUAAAUCUUUGGUGUCUCGAUGAUGCCAUCGAAACACAUCAUGCGGUAUUAGCAGUCGUUUCCAACUGUUGUCCCCCUCUGGAAGGCAGGUUCCUCACGCGUUACUCACCAGUCCGCCACUAAGCAUUCCCUUCCAUUGUCCGAAAACUCUUUCAGGGGUGCUCCGUUCGACUUGCAUGUGUUAAGCACGCCGCCAGCGUGUCCUGUCGCGACGACGUCAACUAC
rnacentral:rRNA from 1 species